CGCCUACGGGGGGCAUCAGUAUUUACUUUUCGUCACUUUUCUCAAGCCUGAACGAGCAAUGCCGCGUGAACGAGGAAGGUCUUCGGAUCGUAAAGUUCUGUUGAAGGGGAAAAAGAGCGGAGAGAGGAAAUGGUCUCCGAUUGAUAUUACCCUUCGAGGAAGUCACGGCUAACUACGUGCCAGCAGCCGCGGUAAUACGUAGGUGGCGAGCGUUAUCCGGAAUGAUUGGGCGUAAAGGGUGCGUAGGCGGCCUGCUAAGUCUGGAGUGAAAGGCACCGGCUCAACCGGUACAGGCUCUGGAAACU
rnacentral:rRNA from 1 species